rnacentral:lncRNA from 1 species
ACCUCCACCUGAAGCUCAACCUCUCUCUAGGCUCUGUCUGGCUCCCGAAGCUCCACCUCGCAUUAGACUUCCUGCUAGGUAAUAAUGUCCUCUGCUCCCUUUCUUCCCCUCUAGCACAAUCCUAUCGCCACGUAGCACCCUCAGGAUUCCUCCACCAGCUACCGUCCUGUAGCCUCUCGAAUCUAGUCUACUAAGUGAGAUAAGAUUUCGUCUGAAAUUGGGUAUGUAUCAGACUUUCCCCAAUCUCCUCACUGCACCGUCAUGUGUCCUCC